rnacentral:rRNA from 1 species
CUGACUGCUAUCGGAUUGAUACUAAGCCAUGCGAGUCAUUGUAGUAAUACAAGGCAGACGGCUCAGUAACGCGUAGUCAACCUAACCUAUGGACGGGAAUAACCUCGGGAAACUGAGUAUAAUGCCCGAUAGAACAUUAUGCCUGGAAUGGUUUAUGUUCCAAACGAUUUAUCGCCGUAGGAUGGGACUGCGGCCUAUCAGUUUGUUGGUGAGGUAAUGGCCCACCAAGACUAUUACAGGUACGGGCUCUGAGAGGAGUAGCCCGGAGAUGGGUACUGAGACACGGACCCAGGCCCUAUGGGGCGCAGCAGGCGAGAAAACUUUGCAAUGUGCGAAAGCACGACAAGGUUAAUCCGAGUGGUUUCUGCUAAAGGAACCUUUUGUCGGUCCUAGAAACACCGAUGAAUAAGGGGCGGGCAAGUUCUGGUGUCAGCCGCCGCGGUAAAACCAGCACCUCAAGUGGUCAGGAUGAUUAUUGGGCCUAAAGCAUCCGUAGCCGGCUCUGUUAGUUUUCGGUUAAAUCUGUACGCUCAACGUACAGGCUGCCGGGAAUACUGCAAAGCUAGGGAGUGGGAGAGGUAGACGGUACUCGGUAGGAAGGGGUAAAAUCCUUUGAUCUAUUGAUGACCACCUGUGGCGAAGGCGGUCUACCAGAACACGUCCGACGGUGAGGGAUGAAAGCUGGGGGAGCAAACCGGAUUAGAUACCCGGGUAGUCCCAGCUGUAAACUAUGCAAACUCAGUG